rnacentral:lncRNA from 1 species
GAAGAAGAUGAGCAUAUGUGUUAUCAUAUUAUUUGCUCUAGGCCUAAUGGAAAUGGAAAACCAGCAUUUCGAUAUACAAAACAUGUUUCCAAUAGAAUGUUGAAAUUGGCUAACUAGACAUAUUGGGGCAAUAGUAUAACACAUGUUCUCACAUUGAAACGUUUGUACAUAUCAAAAACUGUCCCACGCACAAAAUAACCUAAACGUUUAGCGUGGUUUUUUAUGUGGGCUUUUAUGGGCUUCUUCAAAACUACGCUUCAAGCAGUGUGAGUAUUAAACUUUAUAUAGGUUUAGUAUUUCAAAUUCUUCCAAAAAAUAUUUUGUCUUGUAGCUAAAGUCAAAAGAAAGCAACCCCAAAACGAAUUUCAAAUGAGUUUAGCCUACUGAAUGAUACAAAAUCUGGCGGAGGGAAAGCGGUUUUGGAUCAAUGUCGGAGAUCAAGGCUCUCACACCAGUGUGCCUACUCCCCGCAGAGGGACCUUGGACCUGGACUGUAGAGUUUUUCACUACUCCAAGUCCCUCUCACGGCAUCAGAUUGCCUUCUCUUCUUGGCUUCCGCCUCUCCCCCAUUUUCUCUUGUGGGCAUGUGCCGAGACUAGCAGCAUCUGGAGUACGAUGUGGAUGUCAAACCUUUUUUUGAUGGCGCCCUUACUCUGUCAUAGAGCUAACGACUAGACAACUUGACCCCUGUAGUGAAGAUGGCGGUCUGGUGCAUCAAGGCCAUUUUCAAACUCCUAUUGGUCUGAAAGUCACGUGGCAAGCCUCAUUCAACCAUAUUUUUGCUCCACCCACCACAACUUGAAAGCUAGCGUUCUGCCAGACUAUAGGCCUAGUCCUUUAGGAGCGCUCUGAUGUGGUCCAUACAAAUAAGAAACAACAAUAAAAUAGAAUUACACGCAGAAUUUCAUGUGGAACAUUUAGUGAGUAGGAGGAUCCUCAUUGUGCUGAGAUCACCAAGUGGUCCUACCCAGAGUUCUGCCACUGUACGACGUUGAGAAAGUAAGGAAUCUUCUCAUAGACUCUCCUAAGUGGAAACAUCAUCUACUACAAAAGCAGCUCUCAGCAUUCAUUAAAUCAACAUGCUUUUUGGGCUCAAAAUUACGGACAGUCAAAGAGGACUCAGUGUGCAUCUUAUAUUGAUGGAAUUUAAAUGGACGCUUGGAAACUUGUUACUCCUACACUCGCAAAGAGCCCCAAGUCAAACACACCGACGUUCUCGUCCGGAGUUCUCUAGAGCCUGUCAGCGGUAGCCUACAGUAGGAAAAGAAGGUGCUUGGUUUUGGAUCAGAUUGUGAAUUAUUUGUGAUCGAAACGUCGACAGAGAACCCAGAACCAUUUAACGUGAGCCAUUAAUGACUGGCAUAGAAUACAGUUAAUUUGAGAAGAGCCACCCUGAUCAGAGAAAGUGUCCUUAAAAUGGAAGGUAGCCCAACUAACUCAAACAGUGAGGUUAAAGGUAACACACACAAACACAAAUACUAACACAUCACGGUAACCGGCAUAGAGAGCGCGCGCGCAGAGACACAGACACAGCACACAACUACUUUUUUUCCUGAAACACACAAACUUAACAUGAAAUUACAGAUAGCUUAGCUACUAUGCGUUAUGCCACUACUAAAAGUGUAACGCCAAUCUCAAAGAUACACCUGCAGUACUUAAAAAAGGAAACGUUAUUUAAGUUCUUAUGUGCUUUUAAUUUUUGAUUGUUUUAUGUAAUUCAUUUUUAACACGAGAGGCCGGUUUUAUAUGCAGACACAGAAGAUAAAAUCAUGUUGAAUGUAGGCUGUUUAUCUCUUUCAGGGAAACCAUCACAAGAAAACGUUGUCUAUAAACCUAAAAACAAUGUAGACAACCAUGGGCCUUAACGAUUCUUGGCAGGUCAAAGGAAAGCGUGUUUGUAUUUUGCAGCUUUUCCGCUUCUGUAACCACAAUUGUAAAUAUUGUCCAUAAAUAUGUUUUAAAUGUAUUAAACAAAAUAUAUAUAAAGCAUAUCCAGCCUAACUUCAAGUUAUUGAAGGCCUACGUUCAGAAGAAAAAUCAUGAUAUAUGAUAAUCAUGAUAUGCACUUUUGUUCAUUUAAAAAAAUAAAAUCGAAGGCGUGUUAUUGAGCAUAACCAGGCCAUGUCGCUGGCAUUAGAUAUUCGCACUAACGUAACUACAUUUUCUGUAGCCUAAUAUCUUCUCAUAUUUAAAUCAGACAGAUACGACAUUUCUAUGCCUCUGCUGUUAAAAACAACAUAUAAGGUUACAAAACCAUUCAAGUUAGGUUUCUUUAACUGAGUCCAUUAAGUCCUUUCUCUCCUUAAAUCUAACUGAUUCGUUACAAUAGACCCUAAUAAUACAUUGAUGUUACAACAUGACUCUCAAAAAGUUUCAAAAAUGUAUAACGUAUUCAUUUAAAAAUAAUUGGAAUAGUCUGGCCUGGUACGUGUAUAGCUUUGCACCGUCCAAUUCCUAGUGUAUAUUUUGCAUGUACUUCCCUAUAUGAACGUUGGUAUUAUUUAUUUUAUUAUUUGCGCCAGCUGUUCCGUAAUCCAAGGCAAAUUACACUAUACACCCUGGCCGUAUGUAAAAACCAUGUUCCCCAUAAUAAUUAACCAUCGAUCUUUUUUCAAUGAUGGCCGGAGAUCAUAUUUUUUAUAGGCUCCCUUUUUUUCGUUAAUUACGUUAAAUUCCUUAGACGUCCACUACAUAAUAUAUCUUAAAUUAAUCUGAGCGGUACUCCCUGAGCACAAACAAGUAACCCAACCCUCCAAAAUAAUGCCUGCAUAUUAAAUCCAGUUUUGUAAACCGCAAAUGCAAUGCUGUAAAUGGUGCAACGGAUAAACAUGGUGCACAGCGUACUAAAGCGUUGUUCUAAACUUUUAUACUAAAUCUAAAGUUAUUUUCUUUGGUGUUCAAUGAACGCAAGAUUAUUAUUUCAGCACCGUUUGGUUUGGCACCAGGCCCCGCGAGUGACUGAGGGUAUUUAAAAUUUCAAUUGGACUGGCAGAAAAUUAAACUGUUCCAAACAGGCCCCUCGUGGCUCCGGGCCUGUUUGGAACAGUACCAUUGCACUAGCUUUGAUGAAUCCAUGAGGAGUCAUUUUGAUAGUCUUUUUUUUAUUUAACUGAAUUUCAAAUCAAGACUUCGAUCCCAAUAAAUUACUUAUCACCAGAAUUAUAACCUGAACGUCCAUUGCAUAAUGCCAAGACACAGGCAUUAUGUAUUGCAUUACAGCUGUCUUGGUUACACAGUUUCCUCACAUAUUAGGCUACGUUUAGGAUAUUCAGUGAGAGUCACUUUAAUUUCACCGAAUUAGAAAAUACCAUAGGAUACUGGAUGUCAGCCAAAAGAGAACCUAAACCUGAGUUCUUGAUCUGCAUGCAGCCUAUCUAAUACCAGAGCGCCGCCUGUAGAUCAACAAAAGUAUUGACUUGUCUAACACUGGUCAAAAAUAGGUUCCUAAAAUUGACAUGUGAAACUCAGGAAAUUAAACUGGCAAAGUCAAGUGACAGAGUUAAAUUAUUGCUUUAUAUCGGUACUUAAAGCCUUAUUUGAACAUGGGUAUCCAAGAAAAUUGCAUUAAGUCGGUUUUGUUGUUUUCAAGUUUUCAUUAAUUAAUGGCGACAGUUUAAAGGUAGGGUCAGCCUAAUGACUAUGCUACGAGAAAUAUGGCGACAAGUGACAUUCAAGUCUUCUCAAACCGCAUCUGCGCUUAUGCAAAGGUUUGUUUCAAGCUGUUACAGCUUAGUGGUCAGUGGACCAAAACAAGGGAAUGGUUUAACAUUCGUAGAAAUUGCCCUACUUACCAGUUUUUGCGUCUACGUAAAAUAGUCCUGUCGCUCCCCAGAUGACCUUGUUUUCAAAGUCUGUGUGUUGCAGUUGUUAUAAAAGUGAUACGUAUCAAAGCGAGUCGUCUGUUUUUCCACACAUUUACGGAAAUAUCUUCCGUAAAAAAAAUAUAUGUUUGUGGGUUGUUGUUGGUAUGUUUUUUUGGGGAGGGGGGUACGUUUUUUUACUAUUGUGAAAGUUAUGUCUAUUGUACAUUGCAUCAUAAACUGCAUGUAGCCUACUUCCAAGUUAUUAUCGUAUGCAUUUGAGGCCAAAUGUUUGUAAAGAUGUUAAAUAAAUAAAAUGGG